CAUUAUUUUUACUGCCCGCUAGCGAAGCCCAUACGUAAGUGAAGGUUAAGAAAGAAAGGAAGGAAAUGGAAGAUAGAGAAAAGGGAGAAGGAGUAAGGGAGGCGACUCACACGGGUAAUAAAUCUCUCCGAAGUGUUAUGACCAGUCAGCAGGGCCUCCCGAUAGGACAAGGAACGCCACAAGAAGUGCCCUGGUAUGGUUGGGGUCAUGAUCUACAUGACCUACAGCGGAGGCGCUACAGGGAGGAUAGUCGAGAGGGAGAUAGUUAAGGAACGGUGUCCUGGCUGGACGUGUGUGAUCGUGUCUCCGCCCUCCCUACAGUAACGUAAAGUGACGAGAAGCUUCAAACAGACCCUGAACGUGUUUGAUCGAGAAAAUAUAUACUCGCAUCAUCAC